rnacentral:rRNA from 1 species
AUUGGAGGGCAAGUCUGGUGCCAGCAGCCGCGGUAAUUCCAGCUCCAAUAGCGUAUAUUAAAGUUGUUGCGGUUAAAAAGCUCGUAGUUCGAGUUCAGUUUCGGACUGGGGUGGGAGGUCACCGCCCGGUGCUUCCCCUCUAGGCUCCGAACAGCUUCCUUUAUAGGAAGCCAAGCCGGUUCUGGCGGGGUGCUCUUUACCGAGUGUCCCGCGCGGCCGGCCAGUUCACCUUGAAUAAAUGAGAGUGCUCAAAGCAGGCUACUCUGGAAUACAAUGCCCGAAUGUUAACUGCAUGGAAUGAUGGAAGAUGAUCUCGGUUCCAUUUUGUUGGUGGUGGGAGCCAGAGGUAAUGAUAAACAGGGACUGUCGGGGGCAUCCGUACUACGACGCGAGAGGUGAAAUUCAGUGACCGUCGUAGGACGAACAACAGCGAAAGCAUUUGCCAAGAAUGUCUUCGUUGAUCAAGAACGAAAGUUAGAGGAUCGAAGGCGAUCAGAUACCGCCCUAGUUCUAACCCUAAACGAUGCUGACUAGCAAUUCGCCGUCGUUAUUCCCAUGACGUGGCGAGACGCCCCCGGGAAACCUCAAGUUUUUGAGUUCCGGGGGUAGUAUGGUUGCAAAAGUGAAACUUAAAGGAAUUGACGGAAGGGCACCACCAGGAGUGGAGCCUGCG